GAGGCGAGCCGUUAAGGAAGCGGCGAGCCGUUGAGGAAGGGGGAGCACUCUUCAAGGCUGAACUUCAGGACAAGUAAAGGAAGCAGUAGCCAAGAUGCAAGACAAACGUCCUGAAAAGAGUACAGCAUAUACAAGUCCCUAUAUCAGAUCCAGCUCUGCAGAUGAGAUUUAUUGUGCAUUUUAACAAGCAUGCAGAGAUACAAGGCUCCCUUCCUUUGGGGCUUCCUGCUUUCUGCGAGGAGGGCAGAGGACCGAAAACACAAGGAUGUUAAUUUGGAUCCUUCUGAUCAACUUCACUCACAUUUUCCAUCGAUGUUUGCAAGCCAGCAUCCUUUGGAAGAGCAAAGGUAUAAUGGUCAUUGAAUUCUGGAAAACAUCAUCUCAACAGCAGACAGAUUUACCAGUUUGGUGGGAGUAAAUCAAUGGUACUGUACUAUUUCUAGAGGGGAAAAAAAAAUGUAUUAAGCAGUGAGCAACCAGAGAUGCCUCUUGAAUUUGCCAGCCUUAACUGCAGACCAAACAAAUGCCUGCUUUGAACUACAGUGUUUUCCCCUACACUGGUCUAAUCCAAGACAAUUGGGCUGAGGUUUGUUGGCAAACAACAAUCCCUGGGAGAAGCCUGCAGUUCUGUGAUCAACAAUAAAUGGAGGGACAUUUGUUUUCUAUAUCUGACAAACAGGUAAAGUGGCUAAAUUCAUUUUGGUGAAUAAUUUCCAAUGCUUUGCGAGGCAGAAGAAAUCCCUUCCAAAACUAGUUGCUUACUGAUGAGCUCAGGAGAGUGAAACAAGAAGAGUAACAGAGACAAAAGGUGUUUACUUUAUCACAGAAGUCACAUUGCUAAAUGCUAACCACAGUGGCUGUAGACAGAAACCGCAUGUGUACGGAUCUGGAGAAUGUCACAAUCUGGUAUUGCUAAGAACCCUGAGCUCUGUUUUUGCAAAAACCUGAAACACCAGUAGUUUCACUGCAGAUUCAUAAUUAGAAUUUCUCAAAAAAGGCAGUUAUGGAGUAGCUUUAAUAUGUACAAUCAUACAAAGCAGCAGCUAUAAAUGCAGGUGAGAACUUGAAGGGUUUUCAUGUACCAUAACAAAAGGAAAUGGCUUUUUUGAGGUGGGUCUGUAGAAGAAGAAAGCCACACACACACAUGUCUCUGGACUUCACGCCUACAUCUUCUUAACAGCCUGAAAUUUGUCUGCAAUUUAGGCACCAUGUCUUAGCACAUAACUUCUUUUUCCCCUUACAUCAAUUCUUUAUUGUUCUGCUCCCAUAACAAAUGCCAAAUCCAAAUUGUGAGAGUGCAGAAGGUGGAAAACCAUGAACUUAAGAUAUGGAAGGAGUGAAAGCAAGUGAUGUUUCCACUGGGGGGUCAGAGCUUCCAAAUUUAGCAACUAACCAUUUAAGCCCAAGUUCUAGCUCCGUUCAUCCAAAUUCUACCAGGAACAGCUGACAUAAAGGAGCUGCACUGCACCACACUAAGGGAAACGUGGCCCAGUAACCUGUCUCAGAAGCAGCCAGUAGCAGAUGUUAGGAGGAGGGUAUCCCUUUUCUUAC